UACGUAGGCAGCGAGCGUUGUUCGGAAUUACUGGGCGUAAAGAGUGUGUAGGCGGCGCUCUAAGUUCGGUGUGAAAUCUCCUGCUUAACUGGGAGGGUGCGCCGGAAACUGGAGUGCUCGAACGUGGGAGAGGAAAGCGGAAUUCCUGGUGUAGCGGUGAAAUGCGUAGAUAUCAGGAGGAACACCUGCGGUGUAGACGGCUUUCUGGACCAUUGUUGACGCUGAGACACGAAAGCGUGGGUAGCAAACAGG
rnacentral:rRNA from 1 species